AGCUAACUGCAGCGGCAGUAUCGUAGCCAAUGAGGUUAGUCCGAGGUAUGAUUACUGCUAACUGAAACUCUUACAGCUACAUGGUUUCAUGCCUACUGCCUGGAUUACCCCUUUUGGU
rnacentral:snRNA from 1 species